UUGGAUGACCCUGGGAUAUAUCAAAAACAUUUUCAAAGCUUUAUUCUUUAAGUUAAAAACUAGUGUUUUUAGUUUCGGGUACAUAGCCAAAUCCAUUUUAUAUUAUUUUAAAGCAUAUUGUUGCACUCUGAAUACUGAAUCAAAUGAAGAUGGUUAACUCAGAACACCAAAGAAAAUUGACAUAAAUCCAAAUUGAAAAUACACCCACGAAAUUCAAUUGAAAACUCCUACUGAAUAUCACAUAAUGAUGUGAAACUACAACGAGGAAUGCAAUUUUUCAUCGUAAAAAGGGAUUUGUAUCAUCGGAUGAUGAGGAAAUUGCCCAUUGAAGCAAUAUUUUGUAUUGCAGUAUCCUGUUAUCGAUAUCAAAUUUUUGGGAUAAAUCUUCUGAGUAGCUCUGAGCCAAUAAGGGGCAAAACUGCCAUUAAUCAUGCCAAUUUAUCUAUGGACUUCUACUGUCGGAAUACGAAGAUAACAUAAACGAUGAGAGAAAAUAAAGUUACAUUAUGGAAGACGUAAACAAUAUUUACGUGUGUAGGUAGGUAAAUGUUUUGAAAAAUUUUGACUUUCAAUAAAAUUAUUUCGUAA